rnacentral:lncRNA from 1 species
CGCUUGACAAGCUCAGAAAGGAGUGGCCCUCGCUGCGCAGGUUGACCACUGGCGGGUUCCUUCUCCAACUCCCUGUGUUAGGACAGAAGUCUCCUGAGUUUCUGCACCAGUGGACUCUGUCAAUCGCUUGGAUAAAAUGGCAUUAUUUGUAUCCAUAUAAUUUUACAGGGCUUAUCGUGUUGACAUCCAGAGUUUAAAACGUUCUACUGUGCAUGCUGUCUGUCCUAAAUCUGGUGUAUCAGGAAAAGAACAAGCCAUCCCAGAAUAAUGAGCAGUUGUGUCUGUGGACGUAAAGUUUGGGCUGUAUUUCUUCAGUGACUGACAUCUCAGAGAAGAAUGGAUGUCAGAAAUAUCCACCCAUCUCUGUAGAGAGGCUUGCUGAUGGAGACAAUUAAAAGCAAUGAUUGACAGAUUAGAAAUCCUUAGAACUAUCAAGAAGAAGUGAAGAAAGUAAAAAGACAAAGGCUAUAUAUCCCUGGAGAUGAUGGUAAUGAACUCCAGGUAACCUCAGCAGUAACACCACUGGGAAAAGGCCACCAAACCCACCAAAUCAGGUUUCCUGAGGUUUCAUGAAGUCCACGGUUUUGAUAUACAGAACUUGGUGAGUUUUACUGAAUAUAUCUUAUCACCUAACUACCAUUGUAAUCAAUUAAGCAAC